GACGAACGCUGGCGGCGUGCUUAACACAUGCCAGUCGAACGAAGUGGCGAACGGGUGAGUAAUGCGUAAUCAACCUGCCCUUCAGAGGGGGACAACAGUUGGAAACGACUGCUAAUACCGCAUACUUAAGGAGGGGAUUGCGUCGGAUUAGCUAGUUGGAGGGUUAACGGCCCACCAAGACGAUGAUCAGUAGCAGGUCUGAGAGGAAGAACGGCCACAAUGGAACUGAGACACGGCCCAGAAUCCUACGGGACGCAAGAGUGGGGAAUGUUCCGCAAAUGACGAAAGUCUGACGGAGCAACGCCGCGGGAGUGAUGACGGCCUUCGGGUUGUAAAGCACUGUUAAUCGGGACGCGGUACCGGAAUAGAAAGCCACGGCUAACUACGUGCCAGCAGCCGCGGUAAUAC
rnacentral:rRNA from 1 species